rnacentral:rRNA from 1 species
GACGGAGGAUGCAAGCGUUAUCCGGAAUUAUUGGGCGUAAAGCGUACGUAGGCUGCUAAUUAAGUCUGUUGUCAAAGCCCGAGGCUCAACCUUGGAUCGGCAAUGGAAACUGAAUAGCUAGAGAGAGAUAGGGGCAGGAGGAAUUCCAGGUGUAGCGGUGAAAUGCGUAGAUAUCUGGAAGAACACCAGUGGCGAAAGCGUCCUGCUGGAUCUCAACUGACGCUGAAGUACGAAAGCUAGGGGAGCGAAUGGG